GAUGAAGAACGUAGCGAAAUGCGAUAAGUAAUGUGAAUUGCAGAAUUCAGUGAAUCAUCGAAUCUUUGAACGCACAUUGCGCCCUUUGGUAUUCCGAAGGGCAUGCCUGUUCGAGCGUCAUUACACACCUCAAGCUCUGCUUGGUAUUGGGCCCUCGUCCGUCAGGGACGGGCCUCAAAACCCUCGGCGGCGGUGCCCGGCUUUGAGCGUAGUAGAACUUCCUUUCUCGCUCUGAAAGCCCGUGGCGCCCGCUUGCCGGACGACCCCCCAAUCUUUCUUCGAAGGUUGACCUCGGAUCAGGUAGGGAUACCCGCUGAACUUAAGCAUAUCAAUAAGCGGAGGA
rnacentral:misc_RNA from 1 species